CGGAACAGAGCGGAGCGGUGGAGAAACAAAGGCGGAAAAAACGAGUGAAAAUACGGAUUAAAACCAGCGUCUGAGUCGUAGAUUAGUCGCUUCGUUUUCUUACACUGUGAGAAAUUUCAUUACCGAACAAGUCUGGACGCUAAAACAAGCUUUCUGAGGCUGGAUACUGAUCACUCCUGCGGCGAAGUUGUGAAAAAGCGGACGCGCUCGAAUCCGCUAUUUUCCUCCCCGGCCGGCUGUUGGUGUUGGUUUCCAUGGAGAUGCGCGUCCAUGAAUUCGGGGGCGGGGCUCCUGAAGCAGCGCUGCAAGGACAGGUCUUCGUGUUGAGCUGCUGCAGCCUGGACGGAAACACCAGCUCUCACCUCACAGACAAAAGAGGUGUCACCACUUCGUCCAUGACAUCACUGAGACAUCAUCUGUGAUCAGAGAGACAUCGUCCACGAUCAGAGACACUGUUCAUUAUCGCAGAGACAAUCAAAAGUCGCAGUGACGGAGUUUCCUGAUUUGAUGACUUCGUCCACGAUUGCAGAGACAUUGUCCUUAAUCACGGACACCAUCCACAAUCACAGAGAGUCUUCGUGCAAUGAAGAAGUUCUUUGAGACCAGGACAGAGGCCUCCAGACGUCUCAGCUGUUCUUCGCAUCCUGCAGAGUAACUAACUUUGCAAGAGAACAAAGGAACUGAUCUCCUCAACAACACUGAAGCCACACAGCCAGAACAACAGUUGAAUGGACCAGGACAGCAGCAACAGGACUUGACAAAGCAGCGCACCAAAAGGCAUUUUGUUUUUCCCAUGGACUAACACACCUGGACUUACUUUACCUUACCUUGUAUAUCACAAUCUGUCGAAGCAUAGGACGCAACUUUGUCAGUGUGUUGUUGUGUAUGUUUACAGUCAGGUUACUGAUUCAUGUUAGCGUGUUCAUACACUCAAACACUCCCUUGUUAAUCUCCCCCACACAUGAUGAAGUCGGUCCUGGAGGCCAUCUACUGAUUCGGCCAUCUUGUGGUUUAACACAAAGGAACAAUCUUAGAGCAGCCAUCUUACCUUUGUUUUCCACAAACACAUACACACAUUCACACACACACCUCUACACAGUGUUUGUAGGUUUGGUUAGAUUUUGUGUUUGUUUUUUCGUUUUGGUAUUUGUAUAUAUAUGUGUAAUAUACACAUAGAUUUGUAUUUGUUCAAAUAAAUUCUUGUGAUCACUGAA